rnacentral:lncRNA from 1 species
UGUGGAUGUAUUUUUGACAGGAAGAUUUUGUUUUUAAAAUGAAUUAUUCUUAUUUGCGAUAUUUAUAUAAUUUGUUAAAUUGAUAUAAAUACCAAUUUAAGUUUUGAGAGAUAUCUUAUGAUCUUAAGUUAUCUCAUUAUAUAUAAUGAAAGUUGAUUGGAUAUGUCUAAGUCAAGAUGAUCUGAGACCAAUUAAGCAUCUCUGUCGAACUGGCUAUUGUUGCCCUCUUUGUCCAGAAGAUGUUGUUAAACCUGGAAAACCUGCCCGUAUUAAAAUGCAUCUAAUGACAGUACAUUGGAAAAGUAGAGUAGAAUUUCAGGGUAACUUUUUAAAAUUUCAUUAUAUAAAUCUUAUGCAUUACUUUAUACAGGUAUUAUUACUCCA